rnacentral:tRNA from 1 species
UGACCCAUGGUGUAAUAGGCAACACGCCAGAUUUUGGUUCUGGAAUUCAAGGUUCAAGUCCUUGUGGGUCAG